rfam:Fukomys damarensis contig124373, whole genome shotgun sequence.
UGGCGUCGGUGAUGUUCCAUGAUUACCUACAUUGUUUGAGCCUCAUGAAAAGAAAAACGACUGAGAUGCCU